UAUAAUUGUUACUUGGUGUUUGCUGGGAUGUAUUAUUUAUCUAGAGUGGAGCGCUCGAUCGACUAAUCAGGACGAAGGGUCCUCGCCUCUGAUUGGUGGACCGAAAUUUAGUCCACCAAUCAGAGGCGAGGACCCCUUCCCGCCACAUAAUCCAGAUUGCUGCUGCCCUCUAGUUCAUUUCGUAUUGUUCACGAUCAACAUUCGCGCCGAUCGCGAGAGUCUGAGCGUGAAUGUUCAUUAGCGUCUUAAUUAACGCCGUUAAUUAACGUAUGAAUCCGAUCGCGUCGCGCGUAUCGAUAUCGCGAUCGCGUACGCAAGAUUGAUCUUGAAUCCGCGAAUCUCAACAUUCGUUCGCCCGAAAUCCGGAAGUCCAAAAUUGCGUGAAGUUGCACCGAUUCGUCGACUACAAUUACAAUCGGGCUGCCAUUUUAUUAUCGUUAAUAACUUAUCCACAUUGGGAAUAUCGGCGACUCCUGAGUGCGUCGCGGAGGAAGUCAUCGUCGUUCAUCGAUAUAAGACCCUCCGAUAAGCGGGCCUUGGAAAAAGCGGCGACGCGAAAAACAGAGCACCGGUUUUAUUCGCGCGUGAAUAAGCUCCCGUCGAAAAUGUGAUGAUUACUUAAAAGCCGGGCGUCGCGAACGAAAAAAAACGCGAGUGCAAGUGUUUCGAAGCUUCUACGAGGAGGCCAACGGCGGAGCAACUAUGUUACAUAUACGUUUACAUUUGAACAAGGAGGACCAAGGUGAAAAAAGAGAGGAAGAAAGGAGACCCAGGAUCCCCAGGGUGGCAUCGGGCAACGGCGGAACACCUAUAUGUUUAACCAUUCCGCUGCUGCGCAUCGCCGGUGAGUCAUCAAUUUUUACUU